GGAGCGAAAAGCAGUGUGCACAGGGACAGAAAAAUCGAAUAUUUUUUUGGGAGAAGAAGAAAGGUAGGGAUUUUUUUUACUCGGAGCGGGAGAGAGAAGGAGAUGGUGUGGGCUGCGAGUCAACAGCUUGUAAGAGGGAAGAGAACUCGGAUAUGGGGAGGAGCAUUCCUGUGUUGGCUUUGCCUCAUGUUGGCCACCCCCAAGAUCCCUCACUCUCCCAAGCACCAUCUCUUCGCUGACAUGCGCAACUUUCUCGGAGUGCCUAACUCGUUGAAUGUGAUUACAAAUUUCCCAUUUUUGGUUGUGGGUGUUCUGUGUUUUGUUCUUUGUCUCCAAGGAAACCUUUUUAACAUAAGUUUGCGAGGAGAGGUAUGGGGUUGGGCUCUAUUUUAUGCAGGCACAGCAGGGGUGGCUUUUGGGUCUGCUUAUUAUCAUUUGAAGCCCGAUGACGAUAGAGUAAUGUGGGACACCUUGCCGAUGAUGAUCGCGUAUUCCUCGCUUUACUCUAGUUUUAUAGUGGAAAGAGUGGGGGAGAGGAUUGGAUUGAGUUGUCUAUUUGCCCUCCUUUUACUCGCUUUACUUAGCACGGGUUAUGAAAGAAAAUAUAAUGAUCUUCGGUUGUGCAUGGUGUUCCAGUUGAUUCCGUCGAUAGCCAUCCCAGGCAUGGCGUGCUUGUUCCAACCCAAAUAUACUCACUCAAGAUAUUGGGUUUUUGCAGCAGGGGCACACAUUCUAGCCAAAUUUGAAGGUGUUGCUGACAGGAAAAUAUACCGAGUAAAUUGUUACUUCAUCAGUGGGCACUCCUUGGAGCAUUUAUGUUUAGCAAUGGUCCCUGUUCUGCUCAGUGUUAUGCUCAUGUAUAGAAGGAUGAAAUUUCAGAGAUUAGACGAUCAUAAAGAGCGUCUGUGAAGAGUAGGAACGAUCGGUGAAGGCAUGCGUGGGGCAUUGGCUAGUUGGUGCCUAAGAGUUUUUAGUCAAGGAUUAAGGUUAUUGGAGAGGUGUCCAUUGCUGGACUAUUGCCAGCAUGUAGAAAUUUUGAAAAUUUUGUUGAGGUUGGCCCUCUUCCAUUUGAAGGUAAUUCAUAGUAUUAAUCUGGUUAUCUUGGUGCCACUGUAAAUGGAUUCUCUACAGUCCAAUCAUUGCAUGGAGGGGGAAAUCUACUGAUCAGAAAGGUUUAGGAGACAGAGGCAGUGAGGGGGCAAUAUUUUGGAACUUUAUUUGGUUUUUUGACAUGAUAUGUUGUACUAAAUUCUACUUUGAUCUGCCAAUUAUAUUGAAUUCAAUUUUCCAAGCACCCAAGGCAAUGAUGGGGAAAGCUUCAUGCAUGUUUGGCACACGAGAGG